UUAGUGGCGGACGGGUGAGUAACACGUGGGAACGUGCCUUUUGGUUCGGAAUAGCUCCUGGAAACGGGUGGUAAUGCCGAAUGUGCCCUUUGGGGGAAAGAUUUAUCGCCAUUAGAGCGGCCCGCGUCUGAUUAGCUAGUUGGUGAGGUAAAGGCUCACCAAGGCUACGAUCAGUAGCUGGUCUGAGAGGAUGACCAGCCACAUUGGGACUGAGACACGGCCCAAACUCCUACGGGAGGCAGCAGUGGGGAAUCUUGCGCAAUGGGCGAAAGCCUGACGCAGCCAUGCCGCGUGUAUGAUGAAGGUCUUAGGAUUGUAAAAUACUUUCACCGGUGAAGAUAAUGACUGUAGCCGGAGAAGAAGCCCCGGCUAACUUCGUGCCAGCAGCCGCGGUAAUACGAAGGGGGCUAGCGUUGCUCGGAAUUACUGGGCGUAAAGGGAGCGUAGGCGGACAUUUAAGUCAGGGGUGAAAUCCCAGAGCUCAACUCUGGA
rnacentral:rRNA from 1 species